rfam:Gasterosteus aculeatus cont1.001740, whole genome shotgun sequence.
UAAAAGGCUCUUUUAAGAGCCACCCAAUCCUUAAGGAGCUUUUCCU